GGUCCAGUGAUGAAGUGGUAAGCAUGGUUGCCUCAUACCCCAGUUGGGCUGGGUUCAAUCCCAGUUGGCCCC
rnacentral:tRNA from 1 species